rnacentral:rRNA from 4 species
GCUGGGUGGAUUAGUGGCGAACGGGUGAGUAACACGUGAGUAACCUGCCCCUGACUCUGGGAUAAGCGUUGGAAACGACGUCUAAUACUGGAUAUGACUGCCGGCCGCAUGGUCUGGUGGUGGAAAGAUUUUUUGGUUGGGGAUGGACUCGCGGCCUAUCAGCUUGUUGGUGAGGUAAUGGCUCACCAAGGCGACGACGGGUAGCCGGCCUGAGAGGGUGACCGGCCACACUGGGACUGAGACACGGCCCAGACUCCUACGGGAGGCAGCAGUGGGGAAUAUUGCACAAUGGGCGAAAGCCUGAUGCAGCAACGCCGCGUGAGGGAUGACGGCCUUCGGGUUGUAAACCUCUUUUAGUAGGGAAGAAGCGUAAGUGACGGUACCUGCAGAAAAAGCACCGGCUAACUACGUGCCAGCAGCCGCGGUAAUACGUAGGGUGCAAGCGUUGUCCGGAAUUAUUGGGCGUAAAGAGCUCGUAGGCGGUUUGUCGCGUCUGCUGUGAAAUCCCGAGGCUCAACCUCGGGCUUGCAGUGGGUACGGGCAGACUAGAGUGCGGUAGGGGAGAUUGGAAUUCCUGGUGUAGCGGUGGAAUGCGCAGAUAUCAGGAGGAACACCGAUGGCGAAGGCAGAUCUCUGGGCCGUAACUGACGCUGAGGAGCGAAAGCGUGGGGAGCGAACAGGAUUAGAUACCCUGGUAGUCCACGCCGUAAACGUUGGGCGCUAGAUGUAGGGACCUUUCCACGGUUUCUGUGUCGUAGCUAACGCAUUAAGCGCCCCGCCUGGGGAGUACGGCCGCAAGGCUAAAACUCAAAGGAAUUGACGGGGGCCCGCACAAGCGGCGGAGCAUGCGGAUUAAUUCGAUGCAACGCGAAGAACCUUACCAAGGCUUGACAUACACCGGAAACGGCCAGAGAUGGUUGCCCCCUUGUGGUCGGUGUACAGGUGGUGCAUGGUUGUCGUCAGCUCGUGUCGUGAGAUGUUGGGUUAAGUCCCGCAACGAGCGCAACCCUCGUUCUAUGUUGCCAGCGCGUUAUGGCGGGGACUCAUAGGAGACUGCCGGGGUCAACUCGGAGGAAGGUGGGGAUGACGUCAAAUCAUCAUGCCCCUUAUGUCUUGGGCUUCACGCAUGCUACAAUGGCCGGUACAAAGGGCUGCGAUACCGUAAGGUGGAGCGAAUCCCAAAAAGCCGGUCUCAGUUCGGAUUGAGGUCUGCAACUCGACCUCAUGAAGUCGGAGUCGCUAGUAAUCGCAGAUCAGCAACGCUGCGGUGAAUACGUUCCCGGGCCUUGUACACACCGCCCGUCAAGUCAUGAAAGUCGGUAACACCCGAAGCC